UACGAAGGGGGCUAGCGUUGCUCGGAAUCACUGGGCGUAAAGCGCACGUAGGCGGCCUUCUAAGUCAGGGGUGAAAUCCUGGAGCUCAACUCCAGAACUGCCUUUGAUACUGGGGAGCUCGAGUCCGGAAGAGGUGAGUGGAACUCCGAGUGUAGAGGUGAAAUUCGUAGAUAUUCGGAAGAUCACCAGUGGCGAAGGCGGCUCACUGGUCCGGUACUGACGCUGAGGUGCGAAAGCGUGGGGAGCAAACAGG
rnacentral:rRNA from 1 species